CUCUCUCUCUCUCUCUCCGCAGAAAGUCAUGAUAAACUGUUUUUUCGGUUCACAUAAACAUCCCAAACAUUUUUACGUGAUUCAUCUUAAUAAACUUGAUCCAUGAAAAGUGUAGACUACCUUUUAGGAUCUUUGAUGGAAGACUGAUUGGCGAAACGCAUCAAGAUAUUACUGGAACCGUACUUAAGGUAAUUAGACGAAAGCCCUGUUUACAUCAUUCGUAAACAUCGUAGUGGAAACGAGACAGUGAAUAUUCUGAAGUACACCAGGUGAUGAUAAUGAUACAUAAUACGAUUUCAAAUGCUGCUAUGUAAUAAUUUGUAAACCCAAAGAAUGCUUCAAGGCGCCGUAGCUCGAGGGAGUGAAGCACGCGAAUCUGUUUCAAUUUGUUACGCGCCUUCAUAAAACGAACAUGAGACAGUAGAUGUACAAUUACCUUUGGCAUGAAGUUUUUUACAUUGUACCUACUGAAUUUUGGGACUAAUGAAGGCUCUAGAAUACAUGAGUGAUUCAAAUAUUCUAAAAUUUGAUACUCGUACACGAAACGAAGCGCGUUCAUUCAGCCAUAGUUGGUCACAGUGCGGGCCAGUAGUGCGGCAGCCGAGGAAGGAAGGGACAUUACCGCGACCAGCCUUCAAAACCACCAGCAGGCAUUAUUUACCAAAACACGCGUGCCAGUAAGUCCCUGCGGUGCACCACGCGUCGCUAUACCAGGAUGUGGCGUGCAUCUGCGGCGCGGCACCAGGCCGGACCCGCAUCACCACUUUCAACCCGCCGACAGCCGCCUGCCGCCCGCCAUUCAAAGCUUUCACUGUUACCGAGGGACUCAAGAGCUCUGCUACUUCCGAAAAAUGAUAAAGAUACUAGAAGGUUGCUUGACUACAACACCAUGAAUCUGCAGGUGCAAUGACGCAGUCAUUAGAAAUCCCAUCAUCCUUGCCAGUAAUAACACUCAAGCACACAGGAAUGCAGGUGCACACCACUGUGAAAAACGUAAGUGAUGAGUCUGGCAACUGCUCCACAGAUGUUAUCCAGGGCUCGCGGGAAAGAUUCCUUGCUGAGGGCUGCUGACAAUACUCCCAAGAUGGCAUGAUAAUGGCUGAGGAUGGCUUCACCCCCUGGAAAGAUCCAUAUUCUUCUGAUAUUGUGGAUGCGAAUGAUAAUAUUAUCAGUGAGGCAAUGGUGAAUAGUAGUUAUGACUGGGUCAAAUUUGUGGAUGAGAAUUAAAAAGCUCAUGUACAGUAAUGGCUGGAUAAAAAAAUCAAGUAUGGCUGAAUAAAGAAAAAAAAAAAGUAUGGCUGAUUAAAAAAAAAGUCUUAUUUGAAGCAAAAUUCAACCUGAUGGUAACAUUACUAAAAUCCAAGGUGUAAAAAUAACUUACUAGAAACUUUUUUAUGCUGUGGACAGAAUGAAUACUGAAAUCAAUUUGGUGCAUCCACAAGAUUUAGUGUAUCUAGCAAGGGAGAUAGGUGUUAGUUAAGUGAUGGCAACAUGAUACCUUAAGUUAAACAAGAUGAAGUUAAACAAGAUGAUGAUAAACAAGUGGGAAAGAUAUCUCUGGUGUAAGACAUGAAAAAGAGGGAAAGGACAGUGGGUGGGAUGACAGUGAGGGAGUGAUACUAAACAAGUGGGAAAGAUAUCUCUGGUGUAAGACAUGAAAAAGAGGGAAAGGACAGUGGGUGGGAUGACAGUGAGGGAGUGAUACUAUGUACUGGUAAAAAUCAGGUGCUGGGACAGGAAGAACCAAUAAAAGCUCUUCUGCCAGGUACAUUAAUCAAUUUGAAAUAUUUAUAAUAACCAUAUUCCCUUUCCUUUCCAAUAUUCCUGAAGCACUGCCUUCAUAAAACUGAUUUUAUUAGAAGAUAAUUGCACAUCUUGUCAGCAGGAACCAGAAGAAAUGAUGCUCAAGAGAAAGUUAAGCAAUUUGUUUUAGUAUAUGGAACAAAUUAAGUGCCAUGAGACCCAAAAUACUUUGGUAUUACAUCCUGGUUUAUCUUUCAGACUGGAACUCGUUCUCAACUCAAAAAUUUUUGAGACUGCCUUGCAACAGCUGUACCUUUAGGAGACAUGUUGAAUUGUGGAACAUUUUUAUGCUGUGCAAUAAUUGCACAUUAGACUUAAAAGCAGAGAUGCUACUCUGAUAGUAUAUAGAUUUUUCAUGUUUGUGAUGAUAAACUUUCCUUUUAAAAGGAAUGUGUUUAUAUUUUCUGUAACCCUGAAAUAUACAAAGCUAUCUAUACCGAGACACGAAACUCACCAUGCUGACCAAGAACCCCAAGGCCAUAAAUGGCAUUGGAACGGACUUCAUCAUCCUCAUCGUAGGCACCUUGCUGAAAGAGUGGCAGCAACUGAGGCACAAAUUUGCCACUCACUGUGCCUAGGGCCUCCACAGACUCUGCUAGUGUUCCCAGGCUGAAGGAACGCUCUGCAAUGCUGCAGCUUGUUUUCUUUAAUGAUGGCUUCCAAGUGGCCCUGGGGCACCAGCACUGGAGCUCCCACCUCCUUCAGCACCUCAGCAUAAGCUUCAAGGCAGGCCAUUACAACUGACCUUUCUUCAUCUGUGCGUAUCAACUCGGACAACUUGGGAAUAAAUACUUGUAUCCACUUCUUAAAGCCUGGAAAGUAACAUUUUAAUAAACAUUAACUUGAGAACCUUACAAAA